rnacentral:rRNA from 1 species
GACGAACGCUGGCGGCGUGCCUAAUACAUGCAAGUAGAACGCUGAAGGAGGAGCUUGCUCUUCUGGAUGAGUUGCGAACGGGUGAGUAACGCGUAGGUAACCUGCCUGGUAGCGGGGGAUAACUAUUGGAAACGAUAGCUAAUACCGCAUAACAGUAGAUGUUGCAUGACAUUUGCUUAAAAGGUGCAAUUGCACCACUACCAGAUGGACCUGCGUUGUAUUAGCUAGUUGGUGGGGUAACGGCUCACCAAGGCGACGAUACAUAGCCGACCUGAGAGGGUGAUCGGCCACACUGGGACUGAGACACGGCCCAGACUCCUACGGGAGGCAGCAGUAGGGAAUCUUCGGCAAUGGACGGAAGUCUGACCGAGCAACGCCGCGGGAGUGAAGAAGGGUUUCGGAUCGUAAAGCUCUGUUGUAAGAGAAGAACGAGUGUGAGAGUGGAAAGUUCACACUGUGACGGUAGCUUACCAGAAAGGGACGGCUAACUACGUG